GAGAAGAAGAAAAGUGUUGCUUCUAGUUCCAAAUAAAAGGCCCUCAACUUGCUGUCAUUCAGCAUGUUGCAGCUAUAAUCUUUACAGUGGAAGGUCUCAAACCUUCAUGAGUCUCUUCAGUCUUCAUACAUUCAAAGGAAGAAACUCGCUGCUAAGAUGUGACGACCACAUCCUGAGAGCUCUGAGUUUCCUCCAUCACAUUGGUUUACUUUCAUUUCCUCUUUGGUCGUCGUGGCGCAGCUGAAUUUCUCCGUGAAAUCCUCCAUCUGAAGACUGAGGAUCCAGAACAAUCCAGAACCAGGAGGGAGGAGAAGUGGUCCAACAGAACCACAGAGGAGGACAUGAGGGAACAAAGACCAGCACUAUCUGAGACCAGGAAGGGUUGCUGUGCACGAGGAGAGACUCAAAGCAGAUGUAAAAACAAUAUAUAAAACUUAUUACAAAACUUAUUAAGAGCAGCAAAGUGACCGGAAAUGAGCAACUAAAUGUGUGAAACUUGGAAAGUCAUGUCAAAAUAUUUAUGUUUGAUUAUCUGGAAAAGAUGAAGUGUUUCUUUUAAUGUUUGUGACCUGACUUCCUUUCAACAUGCAGGUACGGUUUUAUGGAGCCCCGAAGCUGUCAAAAUAAAAUAAAAAAAAAAGAAA